ensembl:lncRNA
AUGGAACCUCUAAGAAAACAUUACCCACCUGGACAAAUAAGAACCAUGCUGGAUGGUGCUGGAAGUUGUGGACAAGGUCACAGAGUGCCCUGCUGGAAGCAGUAUUUUGGAAAGGAUAAUCGGGAAGCACCCCCUUGGAAUGGAUGGACAGACAAGUCAGCACACUUGAGCAGAGGAAGUUCCUUGCAAACGUCAGCAGAGAAGCUAAGGUAUAGACUUGGAGUAACCUCUCACUCUGACCCCUGGUGACAAGACGGAUAGUUCCAUUCAUCUAUGGGGCUAGACUCACAGAGGCUGCUCACGUGCUGCACAUCGACUUGCUUGGUCCCAUUGAUCACCAUUUUCUCUUCUCCUGAAGAGGGGCCGGGGUCUGGGGACAUGACGCUUCUGUGACUGCGAAAUUCUCCCUCUCCAUCUGCUCAGCAUCCAUCAAGGUAAUGGUGGUGGGGCUUCUGUGGAGGAGAGGGCAUUUUGAAGGGAAGCUGCGGCUGACUAGCGCAAGAUGUUGGGCUGUGGCCAGAGGGGCAAAAUGUGAAGUCUGAUCCCAGGCCUGUCAUUCAGCUCAACUGCCUGUCAGGGCCCUGGGGUUCCCAGACCUACAGGCUGCCAUUUGGACCAACAUUUGGGGAGCAGGAUGCUUCUGGAAUCCAUUUUGGAUUUGGCAACCAGAACAAAGAACUCAGUUUGGAAUGGAGCAAAGAGGUGUAAAUGCAGCCCAGAGCCAUGGGGCGGGGUGGGGGGCGAUCUGGUGUCUCAUUGCUGACCCUUUUGCGGCAAGGGUGAGGUGUUUGGUAAGAGGGUGUGUGUAAGGAGACCAUUUAAACUCCCACAGCAAGCCCAAAGAGGGUAAGCCAGAUUGCAAAUGAGGUCUCUCAGGCAUCUGCCUCCCAGAGAUGAGUAAACUCAAUCUUUGUUCAUCUGCAGGUCAAAAGGGUUUUCUGUUCUGCACUGUACUGCGAGGGCACGUGGGAGGUGACAGGGGCAUCUUGCUUGUCCACAGGAGUCAGCACAGUUUCCUUAGCCCCUGCUAAUAGAAUGUGCAACUUUGGCUAAAGCAAGCUUGGCUACCAGUGGUCCGCAUAACCUACAUCCUAAAGAAUGUGGGCCUUUGCCGGCAAAUCUCUGCAUACUAUCUUCCCAGCCCCCAGCCCAUAUGCACACUUGCACACACACCCUAGUGAGCCCUGUUCUGCUUGAAAAAACUCUAAAAUAUUAUCUGUCCUUCAUAUAUGGGGGGGAAACCCUUUAGGCAUUAGAUACUGCAGUAAUUACUAUAUAAUGGAGUAAAUACUAUACUAUAAUAAUUAACUUGUAAACCUUGAAAUAACAUUUACUGUAAUUUAGACCAAAUAUGAACUGUGAGUAAUGAAGCUCGAUCCAACAUGAAAUCAUUUGCAGGGCACUUUAAACAUAUGCCUGGGAAAGAGAAAGCAGUUCCUGUCGUUACCAAAAUAGGCCGAGGCAAGGGCCUUACACUGGAAGUGUAUGCAGCUGCCAUUAUUUUGAGACAUCUUGUUGGCUUUUUUUUUUUCCUCUUUAAUAAAUUGCAUCUUUUUUCCUAAACUGUUCUUUCAAGCUAUCAGAAGAAGCCUAGAGUUUUUUUGGUUUUUUUGGAAUUUUGUUUUUACCCAAAUGAUUGUUAAUGCUCUCUGCAAAGCUAACAUUUAAAGCAAGAGUCUUGGAGUUGGAUCAGAGGGCAAGAAGGUUCUUGGGGUGCCUACAUUAGCAGUAAACUGCAGAUGCUUCCAGAAAGUGGAUCUGUGAUACAAAGCUGUUGCCAUCACCAUGGGGCCUGGGACACGCAGAA